rnacentral:rRNA from 1 species
UACGGGGGGGGCAAGCGUUGUUCGGAAUUACUGGGCGUAAAGGGCUUGUAGGUGGCCAACUAAGUCAGACGUGAAAUCCCUCGGCUUAACCGGGGAACUGCGUCUGAUACUGGAUGGCUUGAGUGUGGGAGAGGGAUGCGGAAUUCCAGGUGUAGCGGUGAAAUGCGUAGAUAUCUGGAGGAACACCGGUGGCGAAGGCGGCAUCCUGGACCAAUACUGACGCUGAGGAGCGAAAGCCAGGGGAGCAAACGGG